ACUUUUAAUUAUUGUUACUCAUAAUACAUGUACAUGCAAUUUUUUAAGAAUAUUAGUCUCUCAUAAUUCCGUAUGUAAUGGCCCUUAUGUAAACAUAUGUUAAAUUAGUUUGUAUAUAUACCACUCUUAGGUCAA